GUCGUUAGAAAAAAUCCGUUUAUUUGUAUCGGUACUCUCUUACAAUAUAGAUACCUUGCAUCCUUGCGCAUUCAAUGGCCGCAAAAUUAAACACAAAUUAGUUGUUCCUAAAUACAACUGACAUUUUAAACAAGAAAUCUGUCAGUAUUCACAACUAUUUUAAACAUUUAGCAAAGAGUCAUUCAUUAAGGUGUCACUGGGAUGACGUGAUAAAUGUUAACGUUAUCAAAUAUUACGGCUGCAUUCCAUAAUUUUUACAAAUAAAUCUUAGCGCGUGCCAAGUAAAACGCGUCGCACAGCUAGAUUAUAUGCACACUUUUGGUAAAGAUCUCUGGAUAAAGAUAACACUCGCAGACUAGUUUUUCAAUGCAUUGACCCUAUAUACACAUUCCGAUCCAGCCAAAUAUCUUAAAUAG